CUCAACCCCUCUCGCUUCCUCUGCAGCCGCCACCACCCCAUAGGCCAGUUUCACAUGGAAAACUAUAGCAUCGAUCGGCGCCAUUGGUAACGAUCAAAACAAAGGAUCCCUAAGUGCCGAAAGUCUGUCAUAAGCAGCCUGAAUUUACUAAUUCACCCUAAAGUAACCUUACUCUGUCUUGAAUGACCCUAAACUAAUGUAAUUCACUCUCAUCUUACCUAAAACUACAGUUGAAUUACCCUAAACUUGCCUUAAAAUAAUCCCCUAAACGUAAUUCACUCCAAGGUAACCUGAAUCUGACCUAUCCUGACCUUACCUUAAUAUCCUAACCUUACCUUAACUUAUCCUGACCUUACCCUUAAGUGAGGGUUUCAGGACGGUACAGAAUUCUGCUAAUAUUUUCUGCACCUGUACAUGUAUGUUCAUAAGCCCAGCAUAAUUUUUCAUUAACACUAUUAUUAUUAUUAUUAUUAUUAUUAUUAUUAUUAUUAUUAUUAUUAUUAUUACUAUUAUUAUUAUUAUUAUUAUGCACUAUAUUCAAAGGUUAGGUUAUAUAUUAUGCAUUCAAAGAUUGUUUUACUAAAGUUAUGAUUAAAUUUUUUUAUUAUUGUAGGGCUAUUGUAUGUGUGAAUUGUUUUGAUUCUCUCUCUCUCUCUCUCUCUCUCUCUCUCUCUCUCUCUCUCUCUCUCUCUCUCUCUCUCUCUCUCUCUCUCUCUCUCUUUCUAUAAUUUUAGCCUGAAAAGAAUUUAUAAUGACCUCAAAAAAUGAAUUAUCAACUGUACUAAUAUCUUUACUUAUCUUUAGAGACAAGAAGAAGAAGAGGAAGAGGAAGACUGACAGACAGACAUUCCAUUGAGUGUGCGGUGUCCCGCAGGCAGGCAGACCGAGACGCCAGCCAUUCAAUUCUGCCGAGGGAAGGAAGUCGUGUUAGUCAACUCUGAUGACUUGUACUUUUCUCUGCAAGGGACUGUUCUGUAAGCCAGUCACAGAAGAUGUGAACUGUAUCUGUACUAUGAAGUCUUAUAAAUAAAGUUAAGAGCUACA